AUUCUGUGUCUCUAUUUUUGAGGCUGUUUCUCUCUUGGGGCAAAUGAAUUAUCAGGUUUAACAGCUCUACAAGUGUCAGACUGAGGUUGCAGGAAAGCUUCUGUAAGCCUUAAUGUGGGAGCUGAAAGCCAUCACACUGUUGGUUUGCACCACUCUGACUGUGCUUUCCCCAGGUAAAGCCACCAAAGCAUUGCAAUUCCGAUUUGAGAAACAAAUGGAGCCACAGACCUUCGUCACAUCUCAGCAGAAAAUCAUUCAGAUCUUCCUGGAGUCCCCUUGGAGACCAGGGUGUCCAUGGCAGCAUGGAGCGCCUGGCCAGCACUGCCUUCCCACACCACAGAAGCUGACAGCAUGCUCAGUGGCUGUGUUAAUCUGCCAGAACACCAAGAGAAAAGCACCAGGCUGCUGGUUCUUCUGGACAUCCAGUGGUGGAAAUGGCCUGAGGGAGGAGAUCAGAGCCCUGCCAGAUCUCCUGGUGUCUCUCCAGUUUUCCAUUCUGCUUCUGUUUUCAGAGCAAGAGCUCAAUUCACAGUUGAAAGCAAUGAAGUGCUAUAUCAACCAGAUUCCUGUGGCUCCUGUACACUGGUGAAGAUGCUGAGAGGAAUGAGGGCAUUUUGACUGUCCCAUGCUGUAGAAGGCUUAAUUCUUAAUUACUAAUUAAUUCUUUAUGAGUCUUUUGUUAGCCUUGCCAAAUUCAACAGUCACAUUAAUGAUAGGUAUCUCUCCAAACUGGAAUUUGUUUCAAUUGUGUUUUAUUUUUAAGAAGAUGAGUGAACCCACAAGAAUUCCCUCUGCAGGAUACAUCUUCAGUCAUUUCACCACUCCUAAGAAUAAACUAACUCCCUGCUGAGUUAUUCA
rnacentral:lncRNA from 1 species